rnacentral:rRNA from 1 species
GGGUUGUGAGGUUAAGCGACUAAGCGUACACGGUGGAUGCCCUGGCAGUCAGAGGCGAUGAAGGACGUGCUAAUCUGCGAUAAGCGUCGGUAAGGUGAUAUGAACCGUUAUAACCGGCGAUUUCCGAAUGGGGAAACCCAGUGUGAUUCGUCACACUAUCAUUAACUGAAUCCAUAGGUUAAUGAGGCGAACCGGGGGAACUGAAACAUCUAAGUACCCCGAGGAAAAGAAAUCAACCGAGAUUCCCCCAGUAGCGGCGAGCGAACGGGGAGCAGCCCAGAGCCUGAAUCAGUGUGUGUGUUAGUGGAAGCGUCUGGAAAGGCGCGCGAUACAGGGUGACAGCCCCGUACACAAAAAUGCACAUGCUGUGAGCUCGAUGAGUAGGGCGGGACACGUGGUAUCCUGUCUGAAUAUGGGGGGACCAUCCUCCAAGGCUAAAUACUCCUGACUGACCGAUAGUGAACCAGUACCGUGAGGGAAAGGCGAAAAGAACCCCGGCGAGGGGAGUGAAAAAGAACCUGAAACCGUGUACGUACAAGCAGUGGGAGCCUCUUAAUGGGGUGACUGCGUACCUUUUGUAUAAUGGGUCAGCGACUUAUAUUCUGUAGCAAGGUUAACCGAAUAGGGGAGCCGAAGGGAAACCGAGUCUUAACUGGGCGUUAAGUUGCAGGGUAUAGACCCGAAACCCGGUGAUCUAGCCAUGGGCAGGUUGAAGGUUGGGUAACACUAACUGGAGGACCGAACCGACUAAUGUUGAAAAAUUAGCGGAUGACUUGUGGCUGGGGGUGAAAGGCCAAUCAAACCGGGAGAUAGCUGGUUCUCCCCGAAAGCUAUUUAGGUAGCGCCUCGUGAAUUCAUCUCCGGGGGUAGAGCACUGUUUCGGCAAGGGGGUCAUCCCGACUUACCAACCCGAUGCAAACUGCGAAUACCGGAGAAUGUUAUCACGGGAGACACACGGCGGGUGCUAACGUCCGUCGUGAAGAGGGAAACAACCCAGACCGCCAGCUAAGGUCCCAAAGUCAUGGUUAAGUGGGAAACGAUGUGGGAAGGCCCAGACAGCCAGGAUGUUGGCUUAGAAGCAGCCAUCAUUUAAAGAAAGCGUAAUAGCUCACUGGUCGAGUCGGCCUGCGCGGAAGAUGUAACGGGGCUAAACCAUGCACCGAAGCUGCGGCAGCGACACUGUGUGUUGUUGGGUAGGGGAGCGUUCUGUAAGCCUGUGAAGGUGUGCUGUGAGGCAUGCUGGAGGUAUCAGAAGUGCGAAUGCUGACAUAAG